GUGCUUGCUACAGCUGCACGUAUACGAAAAUUGGAUCGAUACAAAGAAGAUUAGCAUGCCCCCUGCGAAAGGAUGACAUGCAAAUCCAUGAAGCGUUCCAUAUUUUU
ensembl:snRNA U6 U6 spliceosomal RNA